rnacentral:rRNA from 1 species
CAAAUGAAUUGACGGGGCCCGCACAAGCGGAGGAACAUGUGGUUUAAUUCGAUGAUACGCGAGGAACCUUACCUGGGCUUAAAUGUAGAGUGCAUGAUGUGGAAACAUGUCUUCCCUUCGGGGCUCUCUGCAAGGUGCUGCAUGGUUGUCGUCAGCUCGUGCCGUGAGGUGUCGGGUUAAGUCCCAUAACGAGCGCAACCCUUAUCGUUAGUUGCCAGCGGGUAAUGCCGGGAACUCUAACGAAACUGCCGGUGUAAACCGAGAGGAAGGUGGGGAUGACGUCAAAUCAGCACGGCCCUUAUGUCCAGGGCUACACACGUGUUACAAUGGCCGGUACAGAGGGCAGCUACCGGGUGACCGGAUGCUAAUCUCUAAAGCUGGUCUCAGUUCGGAUCGAAGCCUGCAACCCGACUUCGUGAAGCUGGAUUCGCUAGUAAUCGCGCAUCAGCCAUGGCGCGGUGAAUACGUUCCCGGGUCUU